rnacentral:rRNA from 1 species
GACGAACCGUGCGAACGUUAUUCGGAAUCACUGGGCUUAAAGCGCGUGUAGGCGGCCCGGCACGUCCGUCGCUGAAAUCCCCCGGCUCAACCGGGGAAGUGGCGUGGAUACGACCGGGCUGGAGGGGGGUAGGGGGAGCCGGAACUCCGGUGGAGCGGUGAAAUGCGUUGAGAUCGGAAGGAACGCCCGUGGCGAAAGCGGGCGUCCUGGACCCCGACCUGACGCUGAGACGCGAAAGCCAGGGGAGCGAACGGG